GAUAAACGCUGGCGGCGUGCCUUAUGCAUGCAAGUCGAACGGUCCUUCUUCGGAAGGGUAGUGGCGAACGGGUGAGUAACGCGUAAGUGACCUGCCGAGAUGUGGGGAAUAACUGGUCGAAAGAUCAGCUAAUACCGCAUGAGCUCCCUGGUGUAAAGGCUGGGGAGGAAAGCCGAAAGGCGCUUUUCGAGGGGCUUGCGUCCGAUUAGCUAGUUGGUGGGGUAAAGGCUCACCAAGGCGAUGAUCGGUAGCUGGUCUGAGAGGAUGAUCAGCCACACUGGGACUGCGACACGGCCCAGACUCCUACGGGAGGCAGCAGCAAGGAAUUUUGGGCAAUGGGGGAAACCCUGACCCAGCAACGCCGCGUGGACGAUGAAGGCUUUCGGGUCGUAAAGUCCUUUUGUGGGGGACGAUAAUGACGGUACCCCACGAACAAGCCCCGGCUAACUACGUGCCAGCAGCCGCCGUAA
rnacentral:rRNA from 1 species